rnacentral:rRNA from 1 species
UACGUAGGGCGCAAGCGUUAUCCGGAAUUAUUGGGCGUAAAGAGCUCGUAGGCGGUUUGUCGCGUCUGCUGUGAAAGACCGGGGCUCAACUCCGGUUCUGCAGUGGGUACGGGCAGACUAGAGUGCAGUAGGGGAGACUGGAAUUCCUGGUGUAGCGGUGAAAUGCGCAGAUAUCAGGAGGAACACCGAUGGCGAAGGCAGGUCUCUGGGCUGUGAACUGACGCUGAGGAGCGAAAGCAUGGGGAGCGAACGGG